rnacentral:piRNA from 1 species
GUCCCUUCCACAGGAACCUUAUGAAGU